rnacentral:rRNA from 1 species
UACGUAGGGGGCAAGCGUUGUCCGGAAUCAUUGGGCGUAAAGCGCGUGUAGGCGGCCAGAAAAGUCCGCUGUGAAAACUCGAGGCUCAACCUCGAGACGUCGGUUGAAACCGUAUGGCUAGAGUCCGGAAGAGGAGAGUGGAAUUCCCGGUGUAGCGGUGAAAUGCGCAGAUAUCGGGAAGAACACCCGUGGCGAAGGCGGCUCUCUGGGACGGUACUGACGCUGAGACGCGAAAGCGUGGGGAGCAAACAGG